rnacentral:tRNA from 1 species
UCCUGAUUUCUCAGACAGUAAAGAAUCUGCCUGCAAUGCAGGAGACCAAAGUUCAAUCCCUGGAUCAGGAA